GAGGGUAUAGCUCAAGUGGUAAAACACAUGCUUAGCAUGCAGGAGGUCCUGGGUUCAAUCCCCAGUGCUUCCU
rfam:Camelus ferus unplaced genomic scaffold scaffold2843, whole genome shotgun sequence.